rnacentral:rRNA from 1 species
CCAGACUCCUACGGGAGGCAGCAGUCGGGAAUAUUGCGCAAUGGAGGAAACUCUGACGCAGUGACGCCGCGUGCAGGAAGAAGGUUUUCGGAUUGUAAACUGCUUUAGACAGGGAAGAAAAAAGACAGUACCUGUAGAAUAAGCUCCGGCUAACUACGUGCCAGCAGCCGCGGUAAUACGUAGGGAGCAAGCGUUAUCCGGAUUUAUUGGGUGUAAAGGGUGCGUAGACGGAGAAGCAAGUUAGUUGUGAAAUCCCUCGGCUUAACCGAGGAACUGCAACUAAAACUACUUCCCUUGAGUGCUGGAGAGGAAAGUGGAAUUCCUAGUGUAGCGGUGAAAUGCGUAGAUAUUAGGAGGAACACCAGUGGCGAAGGCGACUUUCUGGACAGUAACUGACGUUGAGGCACGAAAGUGUGGGGAGCAAACAGGAUUAGAUACCCUAGUAC